rnacentral:lncRNA from 1 species
GGUUUAACUUAGGACUUGUAUUAGAAAGUUUAGGACAUGCAGAGCCAGCAAGUGAUUGUCAUUUGAAAGCUUUAGAACUAGAGGCUACCAGUCCUAUCGUACCAUUUACUGUCAUUCCAAGAUUAUUACACUAACCACAUGUUACUUUGGAUUGAUUAUCAUUUGUCAGACACCAGUUUUCGUGGAAUUUGUGGAUACAGGUGAACCACAAGUUUCAAUGUUCAACAGAAUACAAAUUUUCUACAAGCUUGUAUGCAGAUUUUGUCCAAACUACAAACCAAAUAUCCACGAAAGUACAAUUUUUUUCUCAAUCCAGAAAAAUAAAUACCCAUGAAAAUAAAUGAAUUCACAAAAUGAUGAAAAGCAACUACUUGUAGAUUAAGGUUUGAUAAUGACAUUUCACUGGAAAUUUAAAUAAUGAAAUUAAUAAUGGUCAGAUUAGUGGCAUUGUUACACAUUUAACAUUAUGUAGCUGUUGAUCAUGUCUAAAACAUUGAUAAAGUCAAGAAGGACUUGAAAGAUUGCUCUCAUUGUAUAAAAUUGUUUUUAUAGUACAUUA